rnacentral:rRNA from 1 species
AGCAGCCGCGGUAAUUCCAGCUCCAAUAGCGUAUAUUAAAGUUGUUGCAGUUAAAAAGCUCGUAGUUGAAUUUCGAGAUCAAUAUGUUGGUCGUGCCUCGGUACGUACUUGCAUAAUUGAUUUCUCCCUUCUGAUGAACCAUGACGCCAUUAAUUUGGUGUUGUGGGGAAUCAGGACUGUUACUUUGAAAAAAUUAGAGUGUUUAAAGCAGGCUCACGCUUGAAUACAUUAGCAUGGAAUAAUGAAAUAGGACGUUUGAUUCUAUUUUGUUGGUUUCUAGGAUCGACGUAAUGAUUAAUAGGGAUAGUUGGGGGCAUUAGUAUUCAAUUGUCAGAGGUGAAAUUCUUGGAUUUAUUGAAGACUAACUACUGCGAAAGCAUUUGCCAAGGAUGUUUUCAUUAAUCAAGAACGAAAGUUAGGGGAUCGAAGACGAUCAGAUACCGUCGUAGUCUUAACCAUAAACUAUGCCGACUAGGGAUCGGAUGAUGUAUUUUAAUUUAGUACUACUACUACGUCGUCC